GAGUUUGAUCCUGGCUCAGAGCGAACGCUGGCGGCAGGCCUAACACAUGCAAGUCGAACGAUCCUUCGGGAUAGUGGCGGACGGGUGAGUAACACGUGGGAACGUGCCCUUUGGUUCGGAACAACUCAGGGAAACUUGAGCUAAUACCGAAUGUGCCCUUCGGGGAAAGAUUUAUCGCCAUUGGAGCGGCCCGCGCCUGAUUAGCUAGUUGGUGAGGUAAAGGCUCACCAAGGCGACGAUCAGUAGCUGGUCUGAGAGGAUGAUCAGCCACAUUGGGACUGAGACACGGCCCAAACUCCUACGGGAGGCAGCAGUGGGGAAUCUUGCGCAAUGGGCGAAAGCCUGACGCAGCCAUGCCGCGUGAAUGAUGAAGGUCUUAGGAUUGUAAACUGCUUUUGUCAGGGAAGAAAUCCUCUGGGUUAAUACCUCGGGGGGAUGACGGUACCUGAAGAAUAAGCACCGGCUAACUACGUGCCAGCCGCCGC
rnacentral:rRNA from 1 species